AGACGGUACAGAAGGAUGAGGAACUCCAAUCCUGGUGGAGGGAACUCGUGGAGGAGGGACACGGCGACAAGAAGGGUGAGCCCUGGUGGCCUAAAAUGCAGACUGUGAAGGACCUAACAGAGACAUGUACGAUCACCAUCUGGAUCGCGUCUGCUCUCCAUGCGGCUGUGAACUUUGGGCAAUACCCUUAUGCAGGGUACCUCCCGAACCGGCCCACCCUCAGCCGUCGCUAUAUGCCUGAGGAAGGUACUCCCGAAUUUGAAGAGCUCAAGCAAAAUCCUGACAAGGCUUUCCUGAAAACUAUAACAGCCCAGCUUCAGACACUUCUAGGAAUUUCGCUUAUAGAGAUCCUUUCGUCGCAUUCUACCGAUGAGGUGUAUCUUGGGCAGAGAGACACACCGGAGUGGACAGCAGAUGCUGAGCCUUUGGAGGCGUUCGAGAGGUUCGGGAAGAAGUUGGGAGAAGUCGAGGAAAGGAUUAUGAGGAUGAAUGGGGACAAGAGGUGGAUGAACCGGGUCGGGCCAGUCGAGGUGCCCUAUAUGCUGCUUUACCCUACCAGCGAAGGCGGAGUGACUGCCAAGGGAAUUCCCAACAGCGUCUCGAUCUGAACUUGUGCACGCAUGCCUGUUCUUUUCUUGUUUGUUAGUUGUUAACUGUUCCUCUGUUCUGGUAUGAAAGCUAGUGUAAGUGUGAAAUAUGAAUAACCACAAAACAAAUAUAGCAUGAAGUGUUUGUCGAGUUAUGUAGGAGUUUCAAACUUUACAUGUACAAUCGAUUGUUUUAAGGAUUGGAAAAAUGUCAGGUUGUAAAAUUCAGUAAGGAACCUCAGGUUCAACCUCCAACAUGUUCCUUUUUUUCUUCCUUAGCAAGUUCGUGAGCUAUAAAUGAGUUUCAUCUUCUUUUUUCUGAUCUAUAUCGAUCGCAUAAGUUAACCAUCUAGGCUACAUGCUCAAUCGGAUGGUUUGAUUUUGCAGGCACAACAAUUUAGGUGAUGAUCGUUAUAGUCAUCUCGCUCUCCUAGAACCCUUAAAUUGUCAAAUUCGGCCUAUGUUUCCAAUCUUCGAAGCAGACCUUCAUGUUUUGGAACAUUAUGGUGAAUGAAAAGCCUUCCUUGCUGUGUGUAAUAUGGGGAAAAUUACGAGAAAACUCAUAAAUUUAUUGCACUUUAAUUAAUUGAGUCCUAAAUCUUUUAAUUGUGUCAAUUGAGUGCUAAACCUUUUCAUAUUUUGCCAAUUGAGUUUAUCCAAUCAAUUUUGAUUGUAAUUUGUUAAAGUGGACUCAAUUGAUAUAAUUAAAAUUUUUAAUACUAAAUUGGCAUGGGUAAUUUUCCCAUGUAAUUUGAGUUUUGGCUUAGCGAGGCCAAAUAAGUUAUGCAACAUCUCAAAUCCUCGACCAUGUAACUUUAAGCAAAAUAAGGCUUCAUUGGUUUUGCGGAAGGUAGUUUUGGAAGAAAAAUAAGUUUCAACAUUUGGUCAAAUGGAAAAGCCCAAUGUUAGUGUCCACUAGCAUUAGGCUUUUAGCUUUCCCCAAGUCAGUUUUCACUUGAAGGCUCAUUCAAAAUAGUUGUCAAAUAGUUUAGUAUUUCCCUAAAGGACUUUGGAGGCUGAAAGCCCUUUGAGAUUACUGAACCAAAUGCACCUUGACUUGUUCGGUAGAAAUUGAUGUGUAACUGCUAGUGCCUCGUUUCAUGAAAAAGAAUAAUUUAGAAAUAUAUAUAUAUAUAUAUAUAUAUAUAUAUAUAAAAUAAUCACUUAUACAUACAAAAAUAAAUGACUGAAAGAAAGAUAUUUUCAUCGUUCACGCAAAUAUAAAUAUAAAAUGUUAUCGAUAAUAAAAAUAAUAAAAUUUACUUCAAGCAAUUAAUUUUAGGAAUUUGUUUUUAAAUCAUUCAUUUUCUAUGAAAUAAAUGAAACUUGUAUAAGUGUCGGUUGGUGCUAUUGCUGUUUCUUUCCAGUUUAAUCGCCCUAGUCAUCAUGGGAUAGCAGUCUGACUUCUUCAAAGUCCACGAUUCAUUUGCCCUUACGCUAGGAUUCAUAUUUCCUUAAAAGAUUUUGAAACCUCAUAGCUAUAUCUCUCUCUUCCAUACAUGCUCUUGGGACCUCUAAGUAAUGUCCACAGGGGAAGUUUCUUUGGUUGCCUUUCCGACCCUUUUUACUCUAAAAAAAUCGAUAAAAGGGAUAAUGACUCAACCAAUAUCCGAACUUUUGUCCAUCUUACCAUCAAGUAUCUAAACUUUUUCUUUGUUUAAUCAAGUACCUUAAUUAUUUAAAUUUGGCUAAAUAUAAGGUCUCCAGAAAAAAAAAAUUUGUCAUGUCAUGUGAUUUAGCUUACAUAACUCGCUUACUUGAUCAAAAUUAUGUCAUCUCCAUUUAGAUAUGAGUUGACGAGGAAAUAGAGAUAUAGAAUGUUACUUGAAUGACUUUAGUAGAAUGUUACUUGAACGACUUUAGCCGUCCAACGUAUCUCUAUUGAUGUGACAUCAUUUCACAAAAUCAUAUCAUGUAUGUUGUUAAAACUAGUCUACUGGUAUUAUAUCCAAUUUGCUUCUUUUUUCUUCUUGUUACGAUUUUAACCGAUGUCUCACGCUGACCCAAACUUGAGAAGUUGAGGUACUUGAUUGAACCAAAAAAUAAAUAAAUUGAUACUCAAUUGUAAAACAAGCAAAAAUUCAGAUGCUUUGGUACCAUUACUUCUUAAAAAAAUAAUUAUAAUAAUUGUACUUAAUUAUGCGAAUUCCACAUUCUAGGAAAUAAGGUUCUCACUUUCUCUUCUUCCAAAAAUUUGGUAAAGAUUCAUCACCGUCAUGGUACAUAAAAAUGUGUAUACUUUGAUGAUAGCAUGUAGGUUGUGUUUUUCAUCAGUUUAAAAGGUCACGGAACAUAAUCGAUUAAAAUCUAACGGUUGAGACUGCGCUAGGAUGGGAGAGAAGAGAAGGGGGUCACGGUAAGAUCCUGUCUCAACGAAGCCAGUCGGGUAACCCUUACUUUCACAGGAGCCUUUGUAGUCUGUUGGUUUGAUUUACAAGGAUGACAGACUUCAAGGAUGUAUUUCUUAUUUUAACGUGUUUGUAUCCAUAUGUCCCGUGUCCCUAAUUGGUAUAAUAUGUUUUUCUUACUCUAUAUUCAGCAAUAUCCUCUAAAUGUAUUGCAUCUAGGUGAUCUUGAAAUCUAGAUGAGAAAUCAAAUGAAACUUUUUAAGGGGUUGUCUAGAUUCAUAACUUUGAAAGUCAAGUCAACGGAACUAAGGCCCUGUUUGUUUAAAUCUGUUUUUGUUCCUCAUAUCACAAAUUUUUGUUCCAGGGAAGGAAAAAAGAACAAAAACGUGUUUGUUUACACUUUUAUUUCCAGGUACAAAAAAUCUAUCCUUUUGUUCUUGAGAACAAAUUUAGAACAAAAACAAGAAAUUGAAAAAACUUGUUUCUUAUUCCUGGAACAAUUCCUAGAAACACAAAUUUUUUUUCUUCUUUUUGAAUAGAAUUGUUACCAAACGCAUUCUAAUUUAAUGCCGAGUGUACUGAUAUUCCAAGAACUCCAGACCAAGCAACGAAUAAAAAGUCCUUCAUAAAAAGGACCAGCCGGCAUCCAGAGGAUGUAGCAAAAGCUUGGUCAUGUUGAGAAAAUCAGAGAGACGCGACAGACGUGGUCUCAAUCCAUGUCCGGACCCGACGAGCUUGGGGAGAUCAAUGAUAGGACGGUCGCGUGAUAAGAUAGGGAUUUUGAACCAAAAGCCACCCGAAAAAAAUAGACUUGAUUUCACAAAAUACGUUUUAUUCUUAUACAAUACAUUUUAUAGACGGUCUCCAUCCAUCUCCAUACAUUUUAUUUCAAAAAAUGAUAGAUUUUUGUAUAAAAGUUAGCGAACCAAAAGCCACCCGAAAUACGUUUUAUUUCAAAAAAUAGACGGUCUCCAUCCAUCUCCAUACAUUUUAUUCUUAUACAAUAUGUUUUCGAGAUUCAAAAAACGUGAGAUUUUUGUGGAAUUGUCAACUGUUUUAAAAUUUUAAAUUUGAGAAAAUUCCAAAUAAGAACUUGAAGUGAAUAUAUUUUCUCAAAUAAGAACUCAAAGUGAACUUUGUAUCAAAUAAAUACUCGAAAUAGACCCAUUGUUUCAAAUAAGGAUCCAAAGUGAAUUUUGUGUCAAAUAAGAACCUGAAGUGAUCAAGUUAAUCUCUAUUGAAGACCUUAGCUCGCUGGUAGACAUUUUCCGGUGAUUAAAAUAUGGGCAAUUUUGUCAGAAAUUUGUGAUUGGAAAAAAGGGAAAAUUCUAAAUUAAUUAAGUUUAGGUUAUUCAUUUAAAUGUUUACGUUUUCUUCUUUCUUCUCCUCUGCUACUCCUCAACCAAAUCGCUGCCCAGUCAUCGUCGUGACUCAAUUCUCGUUGCCCCUUGCCUUACUUGACUAGCGGAGAAUUUGGGUCUCCAUAAACAAAUAAAGAAGCAUAUGGUUUUCUUCUUUUUUUGAAUUCGUGCCUCAACCGGCAGAGAAUUUGGGUCCUCAACUUUGUGGGGGAUGGGUACAAGGAAUGGGAAGACCGUAGAAAACCUAGGGUUUUUUGUUUCUAUUUUAAGAUUUGUUAAUUUUCCCUAGAUUUUUUUUUGGGGACAAAAUUGCCCAAACUCUGGUCGUCGAAAAUGCUGCAUACUUAAUAGCUGGUGAAUAUUUGGCUGGCCAGCAGGCUUAGGUCCUUAUUUUGAAUUGAUUCAACCACUUAGGGUCCUUAUUUAAGACAAUGGGUCUAUUUUAAGUCUUUAUUUGAUACAAAGUUCAUUUUGGAUCACUAUUUGAGAAAACUGAUCCACUUCGAGUUCUUAUUUGGAAUUUUCCCUUUAAACUUUUAGAUGAAUCCAUGAUUUACUUUUGUAAAUAGGAAUUUGGAAAGAUUAAAAUCGGGACUUCCUACUCUGUUACUACGUUAAAUUUAGUGAGAUCACUACUGAUUAUUUUAAAAGUUUAAACUUUUAGAUGAAACCAUAGUUUAAUAUUUAAUUAUACUAAUAGAAAGUAUUAGAAUAUUUGAAUGAUAAACAAUGCAUUUAUCUAAUAGUUAGUUUUUAGAAUAAUUGUCAAUGAUCUCACAAAAUAAGAGGUCCUAAGUUCAAAUCUUUUUAUGUCUCAUUCCCCCAGUUAAAUCUGUGCACUACAUUAACACUAAUUUAAAAGACUAGAUUAAGCGUGAGGGGAAGCGAUAGAAUAUUUUUAAAAUAUUUGGUAUUGAUUUUAUUUCUUUUGCUAAUGAAAUUAGAAUUGACACCUCAAACCAAGUCAUUGCACGUGUGGAUGCAGUCUCGAGUUCGACCUACCUCGUGUUGAGGUCACAAAAUCCACCAUUUGGCAAAACCUCUAAAGAAUCUAAAAUAAAAUGUUAGUUAGCUAAAACUGUUGGGAUAUAAUACGCGGAAACGACAUAAUCUUGCAAUUUAUCAACGUGAAAUCGCCAGAGAAAUAAAUAAGAAAAAUAAGGACACCAGAAAUUUACGUGAUUCGGUCCGAGUAGUGGUACCUACAUUCAUGGGGAGAACCAGUAACAAAUAAUCCACUAUAAUUGGAGUAUCAGAGUUUACAAUCGCUCAAACGUCCAAGUAUUUCUCACACUUAGAUUUAACCAAAAACCCAAAGUAUUUAUAAAUAAACAACUCACGGCACAAAAUUACUGUGCGUUCAUGGGGAGAACCAGUAACAAAUAAUCCCCUAUAAUUGGAGUAUCAGAGUUUACAUAUGCUCAUCCUCCUCCUCCUUAGUCUAUGGUGAUAAUUUAUAGUUUAAAGUGAUUUGCUAAAGGUGUACUUACAGAUUUUGCCGACUGCAUAUUAAAAUGUGUUACGAUUUUCUCAAUAUAUUUCUUAUGAGAUAGACGUAAAACUCCUACAGUCCUGCCACGCAAAAUCUCCAUACCCAAUAUUUUCUUUGUAGCACCUAAAUCUUUCAUCUCAAAUUCAACAUUUAAUUCCCUCUUCAACACAUCAAUAUCAGACAUAUUCUUAGUUGCUAUCAGCAUAUCAUCAAUAUAUAAGAGUAGAUAAAUAAAAAAAAAAACCAUUCUCUAAUCUCCUAUAAUAAACGCAGCUAUCCAUCUGACUUUUUGUAUAGUCUUGACUAGUUAUGAAAGCAUCAAAAUGUUUAUAUCACUGCCAAGAAGACUGUUUCAGCCCAUACAAAGAUUUCUUUAACAAGCAAACAUAAUCUUCCUUACCCGGAAUAGCAAAUCCUUUUGGUUGUCUCAUGUAAAUCUACUCUUCCAACUCACCGUGAAGAAACACAGUUUUUACAUCUAAUUGCUUUAACUCGAGAUCCUGCGAAGCAACUAAGGCAAGUAAAACACGAAUAGAAGUAUAUCUUAUCACAUGAGAUAACACCUUAUUGUAGUUAAUGCCCUCACGCUGUGUAUAUCCCUUCGCCACAAGUUUCACCUUAUACCUUGCUGCCUCGACACUGGGAAUGCCCUAUUUUUUUGAAGACCCAUUUACUUCUGACAAUCUUUUGGCUCUUAGGUACUUUGACCAGCUCCCAUGUCUAAUUUCGAUGAAGCGAUUCCAUCUCUUCACUCAUAGCCCCUAACCACUGCGAUGACUUCGAACUAGCCAUCGUUUUAGAGUAAGACGAAGGCUCAUCUGUCUCCACCUCAUCACCUACAUUCUAUGUAUAAGCAAUAUAUGUAUAACCAUAACGUAUCGAAAAUUUAGUUUGCCUUCUCUGUCUAUCUAUGGUUAUAGUGUGCUACGGUUUUACUGGUUGUUCACUAUCACCAACUUCAUAAACUAUGGUCUCUUAUAAAGUCUCAAUUUCUAUUACCUUUGAGGUCUCUAGAGCCUCCACCUAAUGCUCCACCUCACUAAUGACACCAUGAUCUGUCUUCUCUGUUGGUUGUGUCUCAGAACUCCUCUGUUGAAGGAUUGCAGUCUCGUCAAAGAUCAUAUCUCUGCUGAUUAGAAAACCGGGUGAUCUGGGAUCAGUGCACCACAGCCGGUAGCCUUUCACCCCAUGUGCAUAAUCAAGAAAUAUGCUCUUCUUUGCCCUCGACUCAAGCUUACCAUCACUCGCAUGAGCAUACACGAGACAUCCGAAUAUACAUAAUCCGAAAUAAUCAACAGGUUUCCUCGACCAUACUUCCUCAGGAGUCUUCCACUCGAUAGCAGAUGAUGGGGAUCGAUUAACUAGGUAACAUGCCAUGUUCACUGCUUCGACCCAAAAUUUCUUGCCAAGUCCUGCAUGUGAAAGCAUGCACCAAGCUCGCUCAAAUAAAGUUCUGUUUUUCCGUUCUGCUACGUCAUUCUGCUGUGGUGUCCCAAGUAGUGCAGUGUUUUAUAAUACAUUAUUUCUCGUAGAACUCGGUAAAAUAUUUACCACAGAACUCUAUGCCAUUAUCAGUUCUCAGGCACUUGAUUUGUUUAUCUAACUGUUUUUCAAUCAAUUGCUUAAAUUUCUUGAACCGAUCAAAAACAUCAUAUUUGUGCUUUAGAAAAUAAACCCACAUAUUCCUCGAAUAGUCGUCGAUAAAAGUCGGCACAUAUCGGGCACCUCCUUUCGAAGGAACCGAAUUCGGGCCCCAGACGUCUAAAUGAAUAUAUUCAACUAGUUGUUUGGUCGAAUGAAUAGCUGUAAUAAACUUAACUCGGUGCUGCUUCCCAUAGAUGCAGUGCUCACAUAAGUCCAGCUUUCCUGUCUUUUGACCCUUCAACAACCCUCUUUCACUCAGUGUCAUCAUACUUAAAUACCUCACGUGCCCCAAACGCAUAUGCCAUAACUGAGUCAAGUUAGAGUUUGACUCACCUGAUGAAACUGCAGCGGUUCCGGUCACAGUCUCUCCCAGUAGAUAAUAGAGAGUAUCCACUUUCUUUCUCUUUAUUACUGUCAUGGCAUCUCGAGAGAUCUACACCCGAUGUCAUCGAGUGUCCCCAGAGAAAUAAUGUUCUUUUUGAGCUCUGGUAUAUGCCUAACAUUUGUCAAUGUGCACACCACCCCAUCAUACAUCCAAAUCCGAAUUAUCCCUAUCCCCACAGCUUUACAAACUGCAUUAUUUCCCAAAAGAACUCUACCACCAUCUGCAGCUUGGUAAGUAGUAAACUAGUCCUUAUGAGGCGUCAUAUGAUAAGAACACCCCCAAUUUAGUACCCAUUCGUCUCCUGACGAAGUAGCAGUUACACAUAAAACAACUUUUGCAUGACUAUUGCUCCAUUCGACAAUGUUUGCCACACUACUUUUGGCAUUCUGCCUAUUAACUUUAUUUCUUCGUUUUAGACAAUCUCUCCCAAUGUGCCCCUCCUCGUGACACUCAAAGCACUUCACGCGUCCCUUGGACUUUCUAUGGCGUGAUUUCGAUAUGCUUUUACCUCUACUGCUACUAUGCCAUCGAUGUUGUUUUUUACCCGAAUCGUGAGUGCUUACGCUACUCCUUGUGCCAGACCGUCAUCUCGCAACUUUCUCUGCCAUUCCUUAGAGAGUAAGGCAGACUUACCUCUUCUGAGGUAAUUGUAGUACGCUCCUGCAACAGUGAAUCAGUAAAGUGCUCCCAUGACUGGUAUAGAGGCUAACAACAUCAUACCAUGUUCUUCAUCAUCAAGUAUAUUACCGACGUUCUUCAGAUCCAACAUAAGUUUAUUAAAUUCAUCUAGAUGGGUUCUGAUAGACGUACCUUCAGUAUAUGUAAAUUGAAACAUCUUCUUCAACAUAUAUGAGCGAUUGUUCAAACAUUUCUUCACAUAAAAUGCUUGAAGUUUUGCCCAUAAUGCUACGACAUUCUUCUCCUUAGAAACCUUUAUUAAGAGGUCAUUCGACAAAUUUAACAAGAUUGUACUCUUUGCUUUUUCCAUUAGCUCUAUCCUCGCAGAGGCUUUCAUUAUAAUAGGCAACUCAUCUUCACCAUCUAGUGCCUUGGCCAAACCUUGUGUUGUCAAUAAUGCUCGCAUCUUGAUGCUCCAUAACACAAAGUUGUUACUCUCGUUAAACUUUUCAAUUUCAGAUUUCUUUUUAAACAUAAUUGUAGUAACAUAAUUUCCAGAUAAUAAUUAGAAAAGCAAAAGUUCCAAAUCACAAUCAAGAAAUCCAACCUCAAGCUCUGAUACCGGAAAUUUACAUGAUUCGAUCCGAGAAUCGAUACCUACGUCCACGGGGAGAGCCAAUGGGGGUAAAUAAUCUACUAUAAUCGGAGUAUUAGAGUUUAUAAUCGCCCAAACGUUCAAACGCUCAAGUGUUUCCCAUACCUAAAUUUAACCAAAAAAUCAAAGUAUUUAUAAAUAAACACCCUCAUGGCACAAAAUUACCGCGCGUUCAUGUCGUAUGCAAAAAAGAAAAGAUUUUUAGCUUCCUCGUGUAGCUCCUCUCUCUCUCUCUCGGCGGCGUGCAGCUUCUCGCGGAUCGUUGUAUGUAGGGCUUUUUCUCUCGCGGCUCCCUUCUACAUAAAAACUGCAAGGAUGAAAGGGAAACCCUCCUUGAGAUUUCAGCACUUUAUACGUGCGCCCAAGGAGAAAAGUAUUUGACUGGGCCCACUUAUUGCUUCUUUCUUCGGCGUAGACGUCAUGUGUGUGUGCCCAAGGUCAAAUUUGACCUUGGGCACACCACAUAACAAACCAGCGCCUAUAUGGAAUUUUGCUUCCUUUUUAUCUCUUCCGAUGAAGUCAUCUUUUUCUCUUAAAGAUAAAUAGAAAUAUAAGACCUGAGCAGGUCUUUAAACUGCUCCCCCCUGAAUAGAAGAUCCCGGGGGGACUCCUCCUCACAAGCCAUUUACAGGCAAGUGAGGGGAGAGUAUUAAGGGAUAAGCUUCCCAUUGGGAAAGUGUGCCCCUUUUAUCUUGUAGUGGUAAAUCACAUCCUCUUUUGUGUAGCUUGAAGAAGUCCAGCGAAUUGCAUUUUGUAAACGCUCAAACUUGAAACAUAAUUUAACAGAAACAAUAUAAUAUUUUUAAAAUAUUUGACAGUGAUUUUAUUUCUUUUGCUAAUGAAAUUAGAACCGACACCCUAGACCAAGUCGUUGCACGUGUCGAUGCAGUCUCGAGUUCCACCCUCCUUGCGUCGAGGUUACAAAAUCCACUUUUUGGCGAAACCUCUAAAGAAUUUGAAAUAAAAUGCUAGUUAGCUCAAACGUCCCCCAAAAGCUUAAGUCAAGCGUGUGAUCCGCGAGAUUGCUAUAUUAUUUAUUUAUUUAUUAAUUUUUUUUUUUGCGGGGCUAAUCGGACGUAUUCAUAGUCAAUCCGGUAGUUCGAUUUUCCUGCACUGACAAAAGAAGAUGCUUCGGUGCACUGCCUACUCGUGGGAGUCGCCAGGAAGCAAUCGAUCCUGGGGCUUAGCAUUAGAUUAUUGCCGCCAUCAAUUUUUCACGGUACCUAAAGUCCAAAUGAUUAAAAAAUUUUUAAUUUAACUUAAUUUAGGUAUAGUACAUAAAUGGCCCCACCCAAAAAAACAAAAUAAAAUCUAUUGUACAGUUCUGUAGCUGUUCUAAUGAGAUAGCUAGUACUUGGUAUUACGUAUUUCGAUUACCGACUAAAUUGCGCCUUCGUUGGUCAAAGUUGUUAUAUAAAAUAUGUUUAUUCAAAACAUAUGGGGCUAAUUCGAUUGGUUAAAAUGUUUUGUUGCCCGAAAAUUAAAUUAGAAUGCUUGCAAGGAAUUCCUUUCUUUAUUGUUUCGUGUACCAUGCUAUGUUAAUUGAUUUGAAUGCCAUGCGAACUAAAUUGGUAGAGGGUCACGAAUCACGUGGUCAACAAAGAGCACGCACGUGUGCAUUUGUUUAUUGAUCCUUCUUUGUGGAGUAAUUCGACAUGACUUGUCUAACUUAUGCACAUUUAAUCAUAAACUAAACAUAAUUCAUUGUUUUUUUGUUAUUGUGACUAGGAAAAAAAAAUACCUACCCUUAAAUUUUAUAAUGGAUUUAGAUGUGAUGUUUUAUCUUUCUUUUAUAGAUUUGAAAGACAAGACGAGAGAUAUAACUCUUGCAUUGAAACUUGGAAAAAUUUAAAAAAAAGACCCAAAGUGUCAUUAUUUUCUCAAAUAAAAACUCGAAAUCGACAUUCUUUCACAUAAGGAUUUGAAAUGACAUUGGUUGUUUCAAAUAAGAGAUCGGAGUGACUUUAGUUAUUUCAAAUAAGGGCCUCAUCUCGCUGGUCGUCGACCAACUAAAUUUUCCGAACAGUGAAAGGUAAUUUUGUCAUUUUUCAUUUUCUCCUCUUUUUUUUUUUUAUUCUUUUGGUUCUUUUUCUUCCUCUUCACUAGCAGUCGGCCAGCCAUCGAUGAUGCCCACAAGGGGUUGGGUGAAGGUUGCCCUCGCCGACAAAGGCCACCCACACUGGCCACAGGCGAGGGACAGCUUUGCUUGGGCAAGGCGACCCUCGCCCUGGGGCCAUCUGCGAGGUCAGCCCUCGGCGCCCCAAGCAAGGCCGACCCUUGCCAAGUCUGCGAGGGUGACCUCACCUGCGGUUAGCAAGGGCUGGGUGACUUUGUCGACCGCUGGUACAGGCCGACAAGGACCUGCAAACCCUUACUUGGGGUGAGCGAGGCCAAUCCUUUCUAGACCCGCGGCUAACGAGGACUUGCAAGCCCUUGCUAGUUGCUCUGGUGAGGGUUGACCUCACCUGCCCUAGGCAAGGGCUCGACCACCCUCGCCAGUAGGCGAUGACUGACGAGGUCAUCUAGCCCUCACUUGGCCUAGGCGAGGGUUUGACCACCCUCGCCAGCGAGCAAUGACUGAUGAGGUCGCCCAGCCCUCGCCUGCCGUGGGCGAGCCACCUUCGCCAGAUUUGGAGAGGGUCGGCCUCACUUGGGGCCAAUGAGAGCCGACCUCGCGGAUGGCCCUAGGGCAAGGGUCGCCUUGCCCAAGGGAGGCCAUCCCUCGCCUGUGGCCGGUGUGGGUUAUCCUUGCCAGCGAGGGCGACCCUCGCCCAGCCCUCUGUGCGGCAAAGUGGGUGAAGAAGAACAAAAAUUUAAAAGGAAAGAAAAAAUAAAAAUAAAAACUAAAGAAAAAAAGGAAAAUAACAAAUGAUGAAAAUGCUCCUCAUCGCCAAAAAUUCAAGUCCUUAUUUGAAACGGAUAUAGUUACAUCAGGUCCUUAUUUGAAAUAGACAUAAUCACUUUAAGUCCUCAUUUUGCUCCGUUCGUUUCGCGGAAAAUAACUUCCAGGAAAAUAUUUUCCUGAAUUUCCGGUGUUCGGUGGAUGGAAAAUUCAUGGUCAAGGAAAAUAUUUUCCGGUCAACGGAAAAUUCUCUCUUGACUUUGAGGAAAAUGUUUUCCUCUUUUGAAAAGAGGAAAACAUUUUCCUAGCCUCUCACGCUCCCCUCACGCUCCCCUCGCGCUCCUUUUUCCUUUUCAUUUUUGCACUCUCGCUUAGGGUUUCUGAUCUCCUCCUCCUCCUUCGACGCCGACGAUGGGCGAAGCAUCCCUCGUUCUCCACCCUCCCCGGCCGCUCCUGCCCGUCUGCUCCGGCCACGGCGCCGCCGCCGCCGCGGCGCUCCAUUUCCCCGGCGGUUCGAAGCCGCUCGGGAGCUCGCGGCUAAGAUGAGCUCGCAGUUCGAAGCCGCUCGGGAGCUCGCGGUUGUUUGUGGUGAUGCGAUGAGGUCGCGGAUCAAGCGGCGGAGCUCGCGGCUCGCCGAUCCAGGCGAGCUCGAGCUCUGUCGCCAGAUCCGGCGAGCUCGGGUGAGAUCGGCCGAGCCUCGAGCUCGCCGGAUCUGGCCACCGGGUCUUGGUCGGCCGCUGGGCAGCCGGCCAUCGUCAGGUAGGAAGGAGGUGGCGGCGGCGGAAGGAGGAGGAAGAAGGAGGAGGAAGGAGGCGACGGCAGAGGAAGGAGGAAGAAGGAGGAGGAGGAAGGAGGAAGGAGGAAGGAGGAAGGAAAAGAAAAAAAUAAAAAUAAAAAUUUCGAUUUUAAAAAUAUAAAUAAUUAAAAAAUCAUUUUAAAAAAAUAUAAAUAAAAAAAAUUGGUCAUUUAAAAAUAUUAAAAUUCAAAUUUUGAUAAAUUUUACCAAAUAAUUAAAUGAGCUAACGAAUGGUGGAAAAUAUUUUCCACUGAAAUUUUAGAUUUUGGCCGAACACCGGAAAAUAGAGUCAUUUUCCUGGAAAAUGACUUCCAGGAAAAUAUUUUCUGGAAACAUGAUAUUUUCCGCGAAACGAACGGAGCCUUAAUACAAGAUCCAUUUCAAGUCCUUAUUUGAAAAAAUGAUUAUACUUCAUGUCUUUAUUUGAAACAAGGUCCAUUUCGGGCACUUAUUUAAGAAAAUGAAAGCACUCCGGGUCCCUUUUUGAGAUUUUCCAUUGAAACUUUGAUUUGUUGAAAAGCUCAUUAUGAUGUUAGAGCAUGAAAUCUUUCUUUACCUUACAAUUAUAUUUUCUCGCCCUUCAACCCUGGUCAGAUCCCAAUCUAACCAUUUGAUCAAGUCAUCGUAUAAUAUCUAAAUCUUACAAAAAAAGGAAAAAAGAAAAAGGAAUCAUAAUGGAUCCAUUACAUACAUGAGAUUGGCUGUGCAUGUGCUAGAGAUUGUGUGCAUGCAUGUAUUUAGGAAAAGAAAAAAAAAUGAAAUAAUUACAUAGACGAGAGGAACACAUGGAAUAGACGAUUUGGCAUUCUAUCCCUCUUCCUGAAAAAGAAAGUUAAAUGUAAGAAUUUCGCGAGAGGUCGCUGGAUGUAUAAUAUCAUGUUAUGUGAUCAACGAAGUGUCUAAUCGGCUCUCAUUCAAAUGGAUACAUCUGGACAGAAGAGACAACUCGAGACGGAAGAUAAGAUGACCUUUUACCAAAGGUGAGCAUUGGUAUCAUUUGUCAAGCUUUCAAGCUUUUUGUCAUUUCGGAUAAUCUCAACGUGUCAAGAACGAAUAUAAUUGACGCAAGAUAACCCGAGGAUUAAGGCAACGCCACCAAGAUUCAAAGCAAGCCGCGUGCUAAUCACUUCACUAAUCCCUUAAUCAUCACCAAAUCUUCGCGGGUCGUCUUCCCUAAAUGGGUCUUGGGUAACCAUCGUUGAAUCAGCGCGUGGAUGAACGCGCCAUCUCCACAAGAUUUGGUCUAUCAAUUCAAGCAAAACCAACUCAAUUUCUCUCCUCAUUUAAGAAAAGAAGAUGGGAAAAAAUCUAUAAAAAAAAAAGUAUUAUUUAACGAGUGCCUAAGAUACUAAUCAUUCAAUUAGAUGAGAAAACUUAGGUUUUGAAGAUUAUAAGGCUACGUGUGGUCAUCUAAGAAUCUUAUUAGAAUAGGAGUGGAUAGAAUACGAUAUAAUUUAGAAAUUUUGCUAAAUUUUAUUUACCCUUUAGUGAAUUGUAGUAAUAAAUCCAGAUAUUUUUAUAUCCUAUUUUAUCCAUUGUUUGAUAUGAAUAAUAUAUCAAUAUAAAUGAAUUUGAAAAUGUACAAACGAAAAUAGUAAGAAUUUCUCAUGAGUCACUACUAAAGAAAUCACAAGUGCAAAAACGGAGAUGACCUUUAUCAAUCAAUUCAUAAUUACCGUAUCAUCUACAUUAUGAUUUACAUAUUAAACAAAGAAAAGAGCUCAUUGCAGCAUUCUAAAGCCACAUGUUUGACAAUGACAAGAAAUGUAAAUGGACUACAACAACAUCGACUAGGUAGAUCAACUAGAAAAGUCAAAUCUAAUAAAGGAGAGAAAACAUGAUUAUUCAUUUUCGUGAUUUGGAAAAGUAUAGUAUUUUGAUUCUCUUGCCACUUUUGUGAAAUUCCAACAUGAAUUAUAAAUAUAUAUAGAAUAUAUAUUAUAGAAUAUAAAGAAAUUCAAAUAUACAUAAAUAGGAAUAAAUAACAAAAUUGUCCAUUAUUUUCUUUUUUUUGAUUUUUCUUUUUUAUAUUAGAAUCCAAAUAUUAUUCAUAUUUUAAUUUUUUUAAUCUAAAGUUUGUUAUUCGACAAAAAUAACUUUUAUGCCAUGAAUAUAAGAAAUUCUAACCACAUUUAUCAUAUUUCUUCCAUAGGUAUCUUUGUGAAGGCUGUAUCUACUUUAUGUAUGAUUUUAUCUUAUCUUGGGUAAGAGCUAAAUACUGGAUAUGAUAUAUCCUAUCCCAACUACCAAAUGUUGGCUAACUUCUUUUGCUCUACAGAUCAAAUAUUUCCUGUUGAGUAUACAUGACAAUACGUCCUUGAGAUCGAGAGAAAGGGAAAAGAGGAGAAAGGAAAGAAAUUCCAGGUCUCCCAUAAAGAAGGGAAGCUUCUCGGUGACGCCGUAGCGUCGGACUUUUCCUGAUAAAUACCCUCCAUCGCAACGCAUACGCUUCUUCAUUCUUUUCACAUACCCAUCCUUCUUUUCCUUUCACCCGAUCAGCUUCGCAACAAAGGUUUCAAUCAAUCCUCCGGAAUGGAUAAGCUGUUUCAUGGGAUGCUGCGUGCCUUCGACUGUGGUGACAAAGCGGGCCGCCGGCGCAAGGCGGACAGGUCCAAGAAGGUCAAGGGGACCGUGGUGCUGAUGAAGAAGUACGUCUUGGACUUCAACGACUUCAACGCGUCGGUCCUUGACAACGUCGCCGAGCUGUUGGGUAAGAAGGUCUCUCUGCGACUCGUGAGCGCCGUCCACGGUGAUCCCGGUGAGUCAUGACCCUCUUCCUCGCUAUCUUCUUGUCGUUCAUUUGUGGAACAAGUUCUUUCAAUGGCUUUUCUUGGUACUAGACUGUGCUGUACAUUUCUGUUGACAAAAUCUGAUGAAUGGCAACAAAUUAAACUGUUUGUCAUCAUGACAAGCGAUCUUCUUCCCCACAAAGAAUAGGAAAUAGUAAGUAUUUCACAUAACUUGCAUAUCUCAACUUUUUGCUUAUAUUUCAAGAAAGUGUAACAUAUGGAAUGAGGUCUCGAGCCUAGCCUUGAUAGACCUUGGUCCGGUCUCAAUGGACUCGUGCUCAAGCAUUAGAGACCUGGUCCUAGCCUCGAUGGACACAAGUUUGAUGGACCUAGCCUAGGUAUUGGAGACUUGGGAACUAGCAUUGGAGUUUCCAUGUUUAAAUGUAAAGUUUUGGGUUUAAGCGCCAAUACCUAAUCAUAUUUUGGAAAAUAUUUUUUAAUAAAAUGAAAUUAUUUUUUUGAAAUUUAAGCCUAGUUUUUCAUUAGGAAAACAUUUUUCACUGACUCAUUUUCUUAAGCAAAUUGUAUGUAGCAAAAUGAGGAAAAUGUUUUCUUGAAAAAGAUUUUCUAGAAUCACGAAUUGUUUUCCUCAAUUCAGUCCAAAUUUUAAAAUAGACAAAAGUAAAAUCUUCCUAUUUGUUUUGGAACGUUUUGAAUCUUCCACUCACGCUUUAUUUUAUUCUAUUUAAAUUUACUUUUUAAUUAAGAAAAAGCUUAAAUCAAUUUCCGGUUUUCUUCCGCCGAUCGAUAUCCCAUCCCAUAGCCAUAUAUCUAGCCUUUAUCGUUUAGGCUCCUUUUAUUUAGCAUUUUUUUUUCAGGAAUAUAUUUUCCUCAUUUUUCAGCUUUUGGUUUACUUAAGAAAAUAAGUUAACGAAAAUUGUUUUCCUGAUUAAUGGAAAACUUAUGCUAAAAUUCAGGAAAAUGAUUUUAUUUUCAAAAAUCAAAAAUCAUUUUCCAAAUAUAUGACUAGGUUUUAGCGUUUGGACCUAAAACUUUGCGUUAGAGCAUGAAACCCCAAUGCUCAUUCUUAGGUCCAUGGCAUAUGGGACUAGGUUUCCAGUGCUCGGGCCUAGUUUUAUUGAGGUUGAGCUCCAAGACCUUGGUGCUCGUGCUUGGGUCCGUUGAGGCUAGAAUUGGUAUGCGAGCGCUUGCAUCUCGAUCCUUCAAGUUUGGGCCCAAGACCAAGGUGCUCCUACCUAUGCAUCGAUCCUUGGCGCUCAGGUCGAGGUCCAUUCAAGCUGGACCAAGACUCUGGAGCUCGUACUCGGUUCCCUAUCUAUCCAUAGACAAGUUACCAGUGCUCAAAUAAUAUAUAUUUAUUUAGGAAAAUUAAAUCAUAAAUUUUAUACCAAAUGAAGGAAAAUAUUUUUCAGCUCAUUUUCAGAUUUUAGUUAAAUAUUGAAAUAUAUUGUCAUUUUUCAAGAAAAUGAUUUCCUGGAAAAUAUUUUUUAGAAAUGUUACAUUUUUCUCAAAACAAAUGGGGUCUUUGAAACAAUCAACGGUUUCCUCUAGUCAAUAGCCUGAUCUCAAGUUCUUUCUCUAUUCUUUUUUUAUUUUGUUGAAAGAAAAUUGUAUUUAUUACUCAAAAUGAUACAGAAGUACAUAGCUUUCAUUAUAAAGUAAAGCGAAACAUAGCUGAAUACUAAAAACAAAGCCAAAUCUAGAAAAACAAGGAGGACCAACGAAACACUAGCAAAAGUCAAGCACAAACUUGUUUCACAAAAAUGGAUUUGUCAAACAAAUUGGUGGCCAAUCAACAGAUCUCGUGUUUUUAUUAGUAAUGAGCACAUGCUACAAAUUUAUUCUCAAUUAAUUACGACGUUGCUAAUUAGAGGUGUGCACCUAGGUUUGGCUUCCUUUACACCAUCAUCGUACAGAAACAACUAUAAUAGGUUAAACAAACACAGGUAUAACAUGUGAAGGAGCAAAUCUUCGUAAUUCAAUGAGAAAGGAAAACUUCUGCGUACAUCAUUAAGGCUAAAGGCAAAGAACCUGUACACAAACAAAGCAGAGGAGACAUUUGAUCCCCAAAUGCAUAUUUAUUAAACUUGUAGAUCUAGAUUGGGCGAGGAUAUCAUCCAAAUCUCAAGUUCUCUAUCUUCUUUUUUCUUUUUAAUCGUUUUUGACCAAACGGAUUUCCCAUUAUUGACCGAACACAUUUCUUGAAUUAAAGUGUUUUUUUUUCCCUGCCUGGCUAUGUUUCUUGACUACGUAACGGAGCUACAACCUCGCCGUGGGUAAAGCUGGCAUUCAUUUAUGGAUGGUUGAAUGAGGGUUUUGAUCGAGAGGUGAGGUUUGCAUUGCAUCAAGCAUGAAUUGAAUAUGAUGGGCCAUUGCCAUCAAGGACGACGCACGAGUGCUCAGAUACUGUUAAUACAGAAAAGAGAAUUAGUUGAAAGAGUUCUCUUUCAGAUCGUCCAUGUAAUCCAUAGAAUGGCUCUUCGCCUAGCGUGCACCGCAACGGGAAAAGACAUCAUCUUUAAACACGAGGUGAUUUUCCUCACGUCGUGUCCUGGGACCACACCACCCAAUUAACCAAUGGUGCACGGCAUUAGCAAUUAUUGUAGUUAAUUUCUGGUUAUUGGCCAAUAAUAUAAUUAUAUAAGCUGUCAUUUGUCGCUUUUGAUUGGAAAUUUGUGCCGCAUACCGCAAGGUUGUGCUUUCUAAAUCACUUCAUUGAGCACAAGUUCGGGUCCUAGUUCUUUCCUUUUGGUUUUCAGAACAAGAUCAGGUCUUGUUUGUCCAAACGGAUCCAUUCUUGCGAAGAGAGAAGAUUAUGGAGAACAUAAUAUUAGUGGGAAUGAACUAAAAAUUGGAAACAAAAUGCAAAUGAUUUUGCGCGGAUCAUUAUCAGAUUCAGACCCUUUGCCAUGUUAAUGAUGAACGUCAUUCUCAUUCGCUGGGACAAAAAGUUCGAAAGCUUUGAAACUUCUUAUUUCUUUUUCGCGCUUUGCAGAAAAAGGUUUGCGGGGGAAAUUGGGAAAGCCUGCAUAUCUGGAAGAAUGGAUCACUACCAUCACUCCCUUAGCGGCAGGGGACUCGGCGUUCAAGGUCACUUUCGAUUGGGAUGAGGAGGUGGGAGUUCCUGGGGCGAUCAUCGUACAAAACAACCAUCACAGUCAGUUUUACCUCAAGACGAUCACACUCGAAGAUGUGCCCGGUGAGGGUCGAGUCCACUUCGUCUGCAACUCGUGGGUCUACCCUGCCAACCAGUACAAGAAGGACCGGGUCUUCUUCUCUAACAAGGUUCGAUCACAAUAAUUUGAUUGAUGAAGCUAAGCUGUAGCCGCAAUUUAUGAUUUGCUUCCAGAGUCUCAAUAGGACAAAACAAAAGACAUUGCCUCCGAUAUGAAGACCUAAAUCUUGUUUUACAUAGAGUAGGUCUAAAGAAUUAGCUGAUUGGCCAGAAAGGAGUGGCUUUUCAAACGGCCCUAGCUUCCCGAAAACAUAAUUUGUGUAGUAGAAUCUCACUUCUAGGAAUUCUCCAGGUUGCACUCUACUUUUAGCCAGUUUCAGCAUUUUGUAAGCUUUUCGAUUUCAUUGAAGUGGGGCAUUUCGCUUGGGAAUUGCACUUUAUAUUGGCUGAAGGCAUUUUAGUUUCAGACUCUGUUCUAUUCUGUCAUAUGAAAUAGCAAUAUGAAUGGACCGGGUUCCUUAGGUUGUCUCUAAUAAGAUAGCACGUUAUUGCAGACGUAUCUUCCAAGCCAAACUCCAGCGCCUCUAGUGAAGUACCGAGAGGAAGAGUUAGUUAACUUGAGAGGAGACGGUACGGCAGAGCUUCAGGAGUGGGACAGGGUGUACGACUAUGCUUACUACAACGAUUUGGGCGAUCCAGACAAGGACCCGAAGUAUGCCCGCCCUGUUCUAGGAGGAUCUGCUGAAUAUCCCUAUCCUCGCAGAGGAAGGACCAGUCGACCGCCGACUGAGACAGGUUAAAUGCACUCAUAUCAUGAAUCUCCAACUCGAAGUGAGAUUAUCAUGGUUUCAUUUUUUUUGACAAAGAUGCUUAUUUGUAAGUAUAUUUUAAUGAAUUUUCACGAUGUUAUUGAUAGAUCCGACUACCGAGAGCAGGCUGCCUCUGCUCAUGAGCCUAAACGUAUACGUUCCAAGGGAUGAACGGCUCGGCCACUUGAAGAUGUCUGACUUCGUCGCUUACACUCUAAAAGCUGUGGGUCAAUUUCUGAAGCCCGAGCUAGAGAGUAUAUGCGACAGCAUGCCCAAUGAGUUUGACUCCUUCCAGGAUGUGCUCAAUCUCUACGAGGGUGGUAUUAAGCUUCCUGACAGCCCUUUGCUGGAGAGUCUGAAGGAGAACAUUCCCCUGGAGAUGCUUAAGAUACUCGUCCGAACUGAUGGGGAAGGGCUUCUCGAGUACCCCAUGCCUCAAGUGAUCAAAGGUAAUGGUACAUAUAUCUAUGGGACCUUUUUUAUCUGAUUAGUUCGAGGCUGUUUUCCUAACGUUUAGCAAUCAUCCUGUGCAGAGAAUAAGACUGCCUGGAGAAGCGAUGUAGAAUUCGGUAGAGAAAUGCUUGCUGGAGUCAACCCUGUCAUGAUUCGCUGUCUCCAGGUAAAUAACAAUAUCUUUGAUGUUACAGCUCAGACAAAUUCAGUUAAUAUUAAAAUGAAGUGCGGAAUGGAGUUCCACCGGUUGUCUAGUUGAUUAAACAUUUUUUGUUGAUUUCAGGAAUUCCCUCCAGCAAGCAAGCUAGACCCUAAGAUAUAUGGCCACCAGAGCAGUUCAAUAAGGGAAGAGCUCAUUCAGAAGCAAUUGAAUGGAUUAACUGCCGAACAGGUACCUUCAUCGCAUCUCACAUCACUAAGAGCGUCCAUAUACUUGCUUAACAGAUGAUGGCGAGCUCAUUUAAGUUAUUAUAUCCAAAUUGAAACGAUGCAUAACAAAUGCAGGCUAUCAAGAUGAACAAAUUGUUCAUACUGGAUCACCAUGAUGCGAUCAUGCCAUAUCUAAGGCGGAUAAACACAACUACCACUAAAACGUAUGCCACUCGAACACUCCUCUUCUUGAAGAAUGACGGUACCCUGAAGCCGCUGGCAAUAGAGCUGAGCUUGCCUCAUCCCGAGGGAGAUGAAUUUGGCGCAAUAAGCAAGGUGUACACACCAGCCGAUCAAGGUGUCGAAGGUUCCAUUUGGCAGCUGGCUAAAGCUUAUGUGGCAGUUAACGACUCAGGCUAUCAUCAACUCAUCAGCCACUGGUAAAGAUUUCUGAGGAGCAUUCAACUAUAUACAAAAGGGGAAGAAAGUCUCUUUAUUUCCUGCAUAUUGAUAAUUUUCGUGAUUCUUACUGCAGGUUGAAUACUCACGCGGUGAUUGAACCAUUUGUGAUUGCAACAAAUAGACAACUGAGUGUGCUUCACCCGAUCCACAAGCUUUUGCAUCCCCAUUUCCACGACACGAUGAACAUAAAUGCAAUUGCCAGGCAGAUUGUGAUCAAUGCGGGUGGAAUCCUGGAGACGACUGUAUUCCCGGCAAAGUAUUCCAUGGAGAUGUCUUCCGCCAUCUACAAGAACUGGAUUUUCCCCGAGCAAGCGCUUCCUGCUGACCUCAUCAAGCGGUAAAUUCACUGUUCUAUACAUAUAAAUCAUCCAUAGGACUUCUAUUUAAAAUUGCUUCAAAAAGAAAGAAAAAUCAAGGCCGAGGAAGAUAGCGCAAAUGUACUUGGAAUAGCCGAUGCUCAUGCUGAGAUACAUAUCAACAUAGCUAUCGUUUGUUUUACUUGAAUUAUUCUGGUAGAAUGAGCGUGACAAAAAUGUUCUACCUUUUUCUCUCUUCAGGGGAGUCGCUGUAGAAGAUGCAAACUCCCUACAUGGCCUCCGCCUAUUGAUCGAGGACUACCCCUAUGCGGUAGAUGGGCUCGAGAUCUGGUCCGCGAUCAAGACGUGGGUUGAGGACUACUGCUCCUUUUAUUACAAGAGCGACCAGACGGUACAGAAGGAUGAGGAACUCCAAUCCUGGUGGAGGGAACUCGUGGAGGAGGGACACGGUGACAAGAAAGGUGAGCCCUGGUGGCCUAAAAUGCAGACUGUGAAAGACCUAACAGAGAUAUGUACGAUCACCAUCUGGAUCGCGUCUGCUCUCCAUGCGGCUGUGAACUUCGGGCAAUACCCUUAUGCAGGGUACCUCCCGAACC
rnacentral:lncRNA from 1 species